CAUGAGAGUCGAUAACACCCGAAGCCUGUGAGCUAACCGCAAGGGGGCAGCAGUCGAAGGUGGGGUUGAUGAUUGGGUGAAGUCGUAACAAGGUAAC
rnacentral:rRNA from 1 species